rnacentral:rRNA from 1 species
UACGAAGGUUGCAAGCGUUACUCGGAAUUACUAGGCGUAAAGGGCAGGUAGGUGGUUUGGUUAGUCUAUUGUGAAAGCUCCCGGCUUAACUGGGAGAGGCCAAUGGAUACUGCCAAGCUUGAGUAUAGGAGAGGUUACUGGAAUUCCCGGUGUAGCGGUGAAAUGCGCAGAUAUCGGGAGGAACACCAAUGGCGAAAGCAGGUAACUGGACUAUUACUGACACUCAACUGCGAAAGCUAGGGGAGCAAACAGG